GUAGAUGCUCAUUCCACCUCUUAUGUCUGCUGAUGCUGCAUAAACCUGGGAAUGACGCAGAGCCACUUUUGGGUACCCGUUGUCUGCCUGCCUGUAUCGCUCUCGCCUUACAGGAUCAACAGACAUACCGUUGAGUCGGGUACCUCAGGGUUGUCUUACCGACCUGAUCUUACACCUGCUUCUGGCAGGUGUUUUUUU
rfam:Pantoea sp. AS1 9__len__51271, whole genome shotgun sequence.